rnacentral:rRNA from 1 species
AUGAACGCUGGCGGCGUGCCUAAUCCCUGCAAGUCGAGCGCACAGACGAGGAGCUUGCUCCUCUGAUGUUAGCGGCGGACGGGUGAGUAACACGUGGAUAACCUACCUAUAAGACUGGGAUAACUUCGGGAAACCGGAGCUAAUACCGGAUAACAUGUUGAACCGCAUGGUUCAACAGUGAAAGACGGUCUUGCUGUCACUUAUAGAUGGAUCCGCGCCGCAUUAGCUAGUUGGUAAGGUAACGGCUUACCAAGGCAACGAUGCGUAGCCGACCUGAGAGGGUGAUCGGCCACACUGGAACUGAGACACGGUCCAGACUCCUACGGGAGGCAGCAGUAGGGAAUCUUCCGCAAUGGGCGAAAGCCUGACGGAGCAACGCCGCGUGAGUGAAGAAGGUCUUCGGAUCGUAAAACUCUGUUAUUAGGGAAGAACAAAUGUGUAAGUAACUAUGCACGUCUUGACGGUACCUAAUCAGAAAGCCACGGCUAACUACGU